CAAGGCUUUGACUGGAAUGGCAUGUUUUCUUUUAAGGAAUCAAACUUGUCUUGUAAAGCUAAUAAAAGCCCCUUGGGGAAUUGACCUCAGACCUUGUCUACAACAGCCACUGUACAGGGUUUCUGACCUGUGACUACUAUGCAGCAGAAGAAAACUAUGCCUGAAAUAUCUACAGGGAAAAUUCUGUGUAUUCAUGUUUAAGGAACCACUUUUGUUCCUCAAGUAACCAGAAUGAGUAAUAAAAAUCAAGCAUGAGUAGUA